AACAGGGAUUGCCCCAGUAGCGGCGAGUGAAGCGGCAAAAGCUCAGAUUUGGAAUCGCUUCGGCGAGUUGUGAAUUGCAGGUUGGCGCCUCUGCGGCGGCGGCGGUCCAAGUCCCUUGGAACAGGGCGCCAUUGAGGGUGAGAGCCCCGUGGGACCGUUUGCCUACGCUCUGAGGCCCUUCUGACGAGUCGAGUUGUUUGGGAAUGCAGCUCUAAGCGGGUGGUAAAUUCCAUCUAAGGCUAAAUACUGGCGAGAGACCGAUAGCGAACAAGUACUGUGAAGGAAAGAUGAAAAGCACUUUGAAAAGAGAGUGAAACAGCACGUGAAAUUGUUGAAAGGGAAGGGUAUUGCGCCCGACAUGGAGCGUGCGCACCGCUGCCCCUCGUGGGCGGCGCUCUGGGCGUGCUCUGGGCCAGCAUCGGUUUUUGCCGCGGGAGAAGGGCGGCGGGCAUGUAGCUCUUCGGAGUGUUAUAGCCUGCCGCCGGCGCCGCGAGCGGGGACCGAGGACUGCGACUUUUGUCUCGGAUGCUGGCACAACGGCGCAACACCGCCCGUCUUGAAACACGGACCUCCUGUGUGAAGUGAU
rnacentral:rRNA from 1 species